CUACGGGGUGCUCCAGUGGGGAAUCUUAGACAAUGGGGGAAACCCUGAUCUAGCCAUGCCGCGUGAUCGAUGAAGGCCUUAGGGUUGUAAAGAUCUUUCAGGUGGGAAGAUAAUGACUGUACCACCAGAAGAAGCCCCGGCUAACUCCGUGCCAGCAGCCGCGGUAAUACGGAGGGGGCUAGCGUUAUUAGGAAUUACUGGGCGUAAAGCGCACGUAGGCGGACCAGAAAGGCAGAGGUGAAAGCCCGGGGCUCAACCCCGGAACUGCCUUUGAAACUCCUGGUCUUGAGGUCGAGAGAGGUGAGUGGAAUUCCGAGUGUAGAGGUGAAAUUCGUAGAUAUUCGGAGGAACACCAGUGGCGAAGGCGGCUCACUGGCUCGAUACUGACGCUGAGGUGCGAAAGCGUGGGGAGCAAACAGGAUUAGAUACCCUAGUAGUC
rnacentral:rRNA from 1 species